rnacentral:rRNA from 1 species
AACGAACGCUGGCGGCAGGCUUAACACAUGCAAGUCGAACGGUUGUAGCAAUACAGCAGUGGCAGACGGGUGAGUAACACGUGGGAACCUUCCUAGGGGUACGGAACAACUCAGGGAAACUUGAGCUAAUACCGUAUACGUCCGUGAGGAGAAAGAUUUAUCGCCCUUAGACGGGCCCGCGUAGGAUUAGGUAGUUGGUGGGGUAAUGGCCUACCAAGCCUACGAUCCUUAGCUGAUCUGAGAGGAUGAUCAGCCACACUGGGACUGAGACACGGCCCAGACUCCUACGGGAGGCAGCAGGUGGGGAAUCUUGGACAAUGGGCGCAAGCCUGAUCCAGCCAUGCCGCGUGAGUGAAGAAGGCCU